GGCAGCACUGUUAUCGUCUCAAGUGAGGAUCCAGUGCUAUGGGGCCAAAGGCACUUAGGGAGAGGGCAGUAACCACAGCAUCCACCUUCUAGCCUAUGCCCUUGCACUGUGCGGCAGGAUGAGCUGAUAGGUGGUGACUACAGGCAGCAGCAACAAGGAACACGGCCUUGCAGUCAGAGGACAUCGAGGAAAUAUUCUAAAUCCAGUGGCUGGAAGCUGAAGUUGGACAUAAAUAAGGCACACUUUAACAGUGAAGCUUUGGUUGGUGCAAAUCCAAGCUAUUCAGAGAGAACUGUCGAUCCCUUGCUGCAGAUUGUUGGUGUUAUGAGGGAGAAAGGAAAGGAAUAUAGAACACAGAUGGAGGUAUUCUAGAUCCCAGUUACAAACAUCAAUCUUGCCCCAGAGUUCAAGCCUGUCUCCAUGGAAAACCACACGACUAAAAGCCUACUGAAAACCAUGGAGGAAAGCCUCCUGUUGCAGACAAGCUGUAUGACUGCCAGUUCCAUAUCCUGCUUGCUUUACUGACAGGAGUAAUUCCAAUGAAGUCAGUGGGCCUACUUACAUGAGUCAGAAACUGGUGCAGUAAAAGAUAUUACCUCACACACCUUGUCUUUCGAAUAUCCUGGGACCAACAUGGCUACAUCAACACUACAAACAACAUUCAUAGAUUUUUGGAAUUCCAGGAGAAGAGAUGAAAAGGAAAGGAGGGAGAAAGAGAGGAAUGAGGAAUGGUGAAGAAGAGAGGAAAUAUGUUGGGU